UACGGAGGAGGCAAGCGUUAUCCGGAAUUAUUGGGCGUAAAGCGUCCGUAGGUGGCUCUCUCAAGUCUGCGGUCAAAGACCGGGGCUCAACCCUGGAAAGGCCGUGGAAACUGCUGUGCUUGAGUUCUGGAGGGGGGUAGUGGAAUUCCCAGUGUAGCGGUGAAAUGCGUAGAUAUUGGGAGGAACACCAAUGGCGAAGGCGAGUCCCUGGACAUUUCCUGACACUGAGGCACGAAAGCUAGGGGGAGCAAACAGG
rnacentral:rRNA from 1 species